rfam:Listeria monocytogenes EGD-e, complete genome
AAAAUGACUAUGAACGGACGAAGUAGUUGCUUAUUCUUAUUCCUAGAGAGCUAGUGGUUGGUGGAAACUAGUAGAGGUAAGUAGACGAAUUACAUCCCGGAGUCACGCUGCGCAGGAUAAUGGCGCAGCCGGUGUUGAGCCGUUAUUUUUUGAAGUAGGAUUUAUUCCUAAAAGUAGGGUGGUACCACGUUAAUUAAUACGUCCCUUCG